GAGACGUUAAACAAUAUGCAAAAAAAGAACAAAACCUCAAAUCCUAAGCUAUUGAACUUUGCUAGUCCAGCAUCUACUCACGAGGAAUUAGAUGCCACAUUAGGAAGUCUUACGGAUGAUGACAUUGCUGCGCUGGGGCGGCACAUCACGAAAGAUUCUUUAAGAUCAACAGUCAGAGGAUUCAUAAAAUCAUUGAUGAAAAAAUCUGUUGCUGAAACAUUUUCAUGGAGUGGCCUUGGUCAUGGAAGAACAUACUAAGCUGGCAUUUCGCGAUCACAAAAUAUACACAGUGCUAACAAUUCACCGCCUGCAUUCAAUCUGAACCACUUAAUAGAGCCAAAAAGAAAAUUCAUCAUAUCUCGCUCCAGGACGAUUGUGUGUUUCCUUUUUUAACAACAACCAUAAUUUAUAUAGAAUCAUUAUAACAGCUAUGUACUUGUAAUGCUUCCCUACAUUUUCAGGUGUGCUGCAUGGCACACGAUUCAAAACUUCCACGCAUGCGGAGAUAGGGGAUGCGACAGCGCGUGUUUUAAGUUUGGUUGGAGACUGGGAAGGUGGAAGGGCGGCCAGAACAAAAGUAAAGUAAAGUGGGAAAAAAGAAAACUAAAAGGAAGAUAAACAGUGACAUUUUUAUGUUUCCCGCUGCGCUUUUUGUAAUACAUUCUUUCGUUACUAUCAAA